rnacentral:rRNA from 1 species
CCCUUAGACGUUCUGGGCCGCACGCGCGCUACACUGACGAAGGCAACGAGCUUUCCUUUACCGAAAGGUACGGGUAAUCUUUUGAAACUUCGUCGUGCUGGGGAUAGAUCCUUGCAAUUUUUGAUCUUAAACGAGGAAUGCCUAGUAAGCGCAAGUCAUCAACUUGCGUUGAUUACGUCCCUGCCCUUUGUACACACCGCCCGUCGCUACUACCGAGUGAAUGGUUUAGUGAGGCCUUCGGAUCCGCGACUCGUUUGUGGAGAAGUUGGACAAACUCAGUCAUUUAGAGGAAGUAAAAGUCGUAACA